GUUCCUGGCUCAGGAUGAACGCUAGCUACAGGCUUAACACAUGCAAGUCGAGGGGCAGCAUCAUCAAAGCUUGCUUUGAUGGAUGGCGACCGGCGCACGGGUGAGUAACACGUAUCCAACCUGCCGACAACACUGGGAUAGCCUUUCGAAAGAAAGAUUAAUACCGGAUGGCAUAAUUAUUCCGCAUGGGAUGAUUAUUAAAGAAUUUCGGUUGUCGAUGGGGAUGCGUUCCAUUAGG
rnacentral:rRNA from 1 species